GACGAACGCUGGCGGCGUGCUUAACACAUGCAAGUCGAACGGAAAGGCCCCCUUGUGGGGUACUCGAGUGGCGAACGGGUGAGUAACACGUGAGUAACCUACCCUUGACUUUGGGAUAACUUCAGGUAACUGGGGCUAAUACCGGAUAGGAGCUCCUGCUGCAUGGUGGGGGUUGGAAAGUUUCGGCGGUUGGGGAUGGACUCGCGGCUUAUCAGCUUGUUGGUGGGGUAGUGGCUCACCAAGGCUUUGACGGGUAGCCGGCCUGAGAGGGUGACCGGCCACAUUGGGACUGAGAUACGGCCCAGACUCCUACGGGAGGCAGCAGUGGGGAAUAUUGCACAAUGGGCGGAAGCCUGAUGCAGCAACGCCGCUUGCGGGAUGACGGCCUUCGGGUUGUAAACCGCUUUCGCCUGUGACGAAGCGUGAGUGACGGUAAUGGGUAAAGAAGCACCGGCUAACUACGUG
rnacentral:rRNA from 1 species